CUUGCUCCCUGAUGUUAGCGGCGGACGGGUGAGUAACACGUGGGUAACCUGCCUGUAAGACUGGGAUAACUCCGGGAAACCGGGGCUAAUACCGGAUGGUUGUUUGAACCGCAUGGUUCAGACAUAAAAGGUGGCUUCGGCUACCACUUACAGAUGGACCCGCGGCGCAUUAGCUAGUUGGUGAGGUAACGGCUCACCAAGGCGACGAUGCGUAGCCGACCUGAGAGGGUGAUCGGCCACACUGGGACUGAGACACGGCCCAGACUCCUACGGGAGGCAGCAGUAGGGAAUCUUCCGCAAUGGACGAAAGUCUGACGGAGCAACGCCGCGUGAGUGAUGAAGGUUUUCGGAUCGUAAAGCUCUGUUGUUAGGGAAGAACAAGUGCCGUUCAAAUAGGGCGGCACCUUGACGGUACCUAACCAGAAAGCCACGGCUAACUACGUGCCAGCAGCCGCGGUAAUACGUAGGUGGCAAGCGUUGUCCGGAAUUAUUGGGCGUAAAGGGCUCGCAGGCGGUUUCUUAAGUCUGAUGUGAAAGCCCCCGGCUCAACCGGGGAGGGUCAUUGGAAACUGGGGAACUUGAGUGCAGAAGAGGAGAGUGGAAUUCCACGUGUAGCGGUGAAAUGCGUAGAGAUGUGGAGGAACACCAGUGGCGAAGGCGACUCUCUGGUCUGUAACUGACGCUGAGGAGCGAAAGCGUGGGGAGCGAACAGGAUUAGAUACCCUGGUAGUCCACGCCGUAAACGAUGAGUGCUAAGUGUUAAGGGGGUUUCCGCCCCUUAGUGCUGCAGCUAACGCAUUAAGCACUCCGCCUGGGGGAGUACGGUCGCAAGACUGAAACUCAAAGGAAUUGACGGGGGCCGCACAAGCGGUGGAAGCAUGUGGUUUAAUUCGAAGCAACGCGAAGAACCUUACCAGGUCUUGACAUCCUCUGACAUCCUAGAAGAUAGGACGUCCCCUUCGGGGGCAGAGUGACAGGUGGUGCAUGGUUGUCGUCAGCUCGUGUCGUGAGAUGUUGGGUUAAGUCCCGCAACGAGCGCAACCCUUGAUCUUAGUUGCCAGCAUUCAGUUGGGCACUCUAAGGUGACUGCCGGUGACAAACCGGAGGAAGGUGGGGAUGACGUCAAAUCAUCAUGCCCCUUAUGACCUGGGCUACACACGUGCUACAAUGGACAGAACAAAGGGCAGCGAAACCGCGAGGUUAAGCCAAUCCCACAAAUCUGUUCUCAGUUCGGAUCGCAGUCUGCAACUCGACUGCGUGAAGCUGGAAUCGCUAGUAAUCGCGGAUCAGCAUGCCGCGGUGAAUACGUUCCCGGGCCUUGUACACACCGCCCGUCACACCACGAGAGUUUGUAACACCCGAAGUCGGUGAGGU
rnacentral:rRNA from 1 species